rnacentral:lncRNA from 1 species
CAAAUGUAACUAGGAAAUGCAGAAAAGGGAAGAAAGGCAAACACUGAGAGGCAGAACAAUUGAGGCGAAUCCUGUUGCAACCUCGAUGAUAAACACGUGGAAAAGGCUGUGACUGCUCUGCGGAUUGCUGGAAUUUGGGGAGACAUUAGGAAAAUAAACACACCGAUGGCUCCGCACCAGCGGUACACGCAGUGAAAGGAUUUGGCGGCAGACAAGGCAGAAUGUGCUGCUUUAGAGGCACUGGACCUGAAAAACUAUCGACGGAGCUUUACACCUUCGAUGACUCCACAAAUCGAUGUGAGCCGGGCACAAGCCUGAAUCCAAUCAGACCCGGGUUUUUGAAGAGCCGCAUCUUCCGCGGCGCCUCAUUCCAGCAUCUCAAGCUCUGGGCUGCCGCUCCCCUCCGCAGAGCACUUGCGCGGGGCGCAGGUAGCGCGGCGGUAACCGCAGCCGGAGCGGCGCUGCCCGCUCAGCCCCCGCCGUGGCCCCGCAGUGACCCCGGCCCGGGACUGCGGGAGGUGAGAGGUGACGCCUCGAGCCGGCGCAGACCUGGCCCUUUUAAAGCCACAGCUAAUCAGUCCUUCAGUAAAUUAAAAUCUAGGAACCGGAGGGGAAGCAAUUUCGUUGUAAAGAAUUACGGGGCGCGCACCGGGAACGAAAGAGCACCGAGGGGUUUACGCUGCUGUCCGCGGCGAAUGGGUUUGUGGCCGGGGAGCGGCUGCUCUGAGAUGGUCUGAGAAAAACCGUGCGCGAGGUACAGCCGCGGCGGGUCCGCACGGUGCGGGGUCCAACGCGCACGGCCCAAUAACGCGCGGUCUCGGGUUGGGAAACUUCAGCCCCAUAAACCGCACGGCGGGAUGGGGUCCCGGGACGCCGGGCUGCCAGCCACCCAGUCAAAGGCUCGGCGCUACGUUACAGCACGAGGAGAAAGUGGAACAAUUUCCCCGUCAAUUAAUUUGUCCUCAGUUUCAAGUUUCUCUUUAAUCUUUCUGAGAAAUAAGGGAUCACUGCUGCGCGGUGCGUACGUGAGUGCGGGUGCGUCCGUGUGCACGCACACGAGAACCGACCUAGCGCACCGGGUGGCCCUCGGACUGAGAGCAACAGGGAGAGGUCAAUUGCUCCUCUUCAAUUAGAAGUUCCCCAUUGUCCUGGCACCCCGUACUUGUUAAUAACUGCUCAGAGUCAGGAGAAGAAUAAAUGUCUGCUGCGAGUAAUCUGCUGUAAUGCA